AAAGUCGUAACAAGGUUUCCGUAGGUGAACCUGCGGAAGGAUCAUUAACACGUAUCCAACGUUAAACCCCCCCUGUGCACCUUCAUAAUAAUCCGCUCGUAACCCAUCUUGUGUCGGGAUUCCGUCGGAAACAACUGGAUCUGGGGAGUUGGUCGGUUGGGGGAGAACCUCGCGAAAUGGUUUGGCACGCCGAAAGGUGGGGACCAUUCCUGGUUGCGAUAUAAACGUGGUCUCCACGCGACUUGUAGUACCCGUUGUCCGGAACCGUACACUUGCCGCCACGAUUUGGGCUGCGCUGCUUGUUUUUCCUUAACCACCGAUGGAAAACUAUGUCUUCCUGUAAAAGUACCCGCUCGGGGGCCUGAGAACCUCCAGAGCUGGAAUACCCGAACAACUGUUAACAAUGGAUAUCUUGGCUCUC
rnacentral:misc_RNA from 1 species